rnacentral:tRNA from 1 species
GCUGGUAUAGCUCAAUUGGCAGAGCGCCGCUUUUGUAAAGCGGAUGUUGUAGGUUCAAAUCCUAUUGCCAGCUCCA